AAAACAUUGCUAUUUGCCUAGCCGUUGCCUAAACCAAUGGCAUCUCUUCGGCAAAAGAAAAAAAACUGCCAAAGCAAAAGAAUAGGAAGGGCCAAAGUGUUUCCUACACUUUUUCUUGCCCAAGUAUCCGUUCAAAGUUCCAUAGGACGCUUCCCUCCUACUCCGUUCCCAGUCCCACCCUAAUGACAGUCCCCAAGAAACCUUCGAUAUAUUCCACUGCUCCUUGAUGGAAUCUGAAACCAUAACAAAAUCCCAAUUCACGCGUCUCCAAACCGAAGCAGUACACACCUCUCCCACGCCAACGCCUAACAAUUUCAUCGACUUCUCCAUUAUCCCCUCGCGACGGCCAAGUUUUGCACCCGCCAUUGCCCGUCGCCUAGAAUACCCUCCAACUGGACCUCUACGAUUUCGCACGAUCUCACUGUAAUGAGAAACCAACGAAAGACAAAAGAGGACCUAACAUUAGAUGCUAUGGGUGGUGAACUCCAGUUUGUUUUGGGCCAACAACCAAAUCCCUACUUGACUGUGUAAUUCCAAUAUUCUAUAUAUUCGUCCAUCAAAAUUGAAGUCAGGAAUGAAAAGAGACUGAAGAUAAAAAUUCAUUGAAAGUGAAGCCCAAAUGUGUAUGAAGGGCAAGUGGUUGGGCUAAAGCAUACAUUGGAUACUCUGUUUCCCCUGCUGAUAAAGCCGAACCAGCUAGAAUCAUGACUUUGGAUGGAAGUAACAUCUUAGAAUGUUUUAAAUUUUAGGCCGAUGCUCAACUGUUAAACAAAUCUGCUUGGGUGGUGUUCUAUCCACUCACAAUUGAUCGUUGCUUAUCUAUAAGAUGUUAAACCAAUUCUGAAUUCUCAGUGAAGUUGGUCCAUAGUCUUCAUUCUUAGACAAGCUAUUGGUGCAACUGUAACAAAUCCUCGGUUUCCUUGUAACAGAAGAAGUUUCUUUCUUCUUCAUCUUUUUUUUGGGUUGAUAAGAAGAUGAUAUUCCUUGUCAAGGUAGUUGGAAAUGAUUGAUCAUGUGAGAUUGUGUUAUUCAUUUAUUUGCUUUUUGGUUUAUUUUUCCUUUAGGUCUUUCCUAUAUUUAGCACUUGUUGCGAAAAAUAGAUUACCAUAUUUCGCAUUUGUUGCGAAAUUUUAGGUUCUAAUACCAUGUGAAAACAUAAGCUGGAUUUUACUUACAUUUGUUCAUUCGAACAUAAUCCUUGACCACAUACAAGUACUAAUAGGCUCAGAUGCUAUGUUGCAAACAUCUUUGUUUAGAAAUUGGCAUGCAUAUAAUUGUGGAUAGCAAAGCUUUGCAAAAAAAGCUGUCCUGUAGCAAUAGUAGUCCAAUCACUUAGCAGCUUUGGAAUCAUAUGAAAUGACAAUUAGCUGUCAAAUUCUCAUUCUCUUAAUCAUAGAAACGUUAGUUGCAUA